AAUUUUUUACGUUUCCCUCUCAUAUGUCUAGUUUUAUCAUGUUGGCUCUGAGUCUCGAUCUUCUCUCCUCUACUCCAAACCCUUGCAUAUUUCUCGUUCCAUCUCAGUCUCGCUUCUCUCCUCCGUGCUCUGAGGACAGUCCUCCCUCUGCUGCUUCUGAGACUGGCGUCUCUUCGUCAAAAUCUCCAAAGUGUGAUCAAAUUCAUGGGGAUUGUGUUUGGAUUGGCGGGGAAACUGUUGUUCGUCGGGGCGAAUUCGAGAAGUUGUUGUUCGUAAGAGGCGACCGUGGAAGAAGGUGGUAUUGCUACACUUGUGGAGGCGAUCGAAGAUGGGUCGGUGAAGGGGAAGGAGUUCGUUAUUCUGACUCUUGCUCAGCUCUGUGCUCACAGUGUUAACAACAGAGACUUGCUUGUGGAUUCCUCCUCUCGUUGCUNUUUCUCAAAACGACUCUGUUCGAGCUAAGCACAAGGGUUUAGUUUCCCCUUUAUCAGAAUCUUGCUUUCCGCGACCAUAGGCAAGUGCCUGAACUUUUUCUGANUUUUUUUGUGGCGUGUUCGAAUUUUGAGUUCUUUUCUGCAAUAGGUUCGAUGGUAAGGAUUUCCUGAACAGGUGGAAGGGUAAGAAGAUAAUGUUUGUGGGUGACUCGCUGAGUCUCAACAUGUGGGAAUCACUAUCCUGUAUGAUUCANNCGUNGGNGCCAAAUACCAAGAGCAGCUUUUUGAGGAAAGAAUCACUGUCUACUAUAACCUUCCAGUACCUUGAAGAUGUUCAGCUGACAGAGUUGAUUCAAGAACUGUCAACUCUAGCUAAUUCACCAAGCUGGCCAGCCAGGCAUGGUUCCGUCCUUACAAUAUCUUCCCUCAUCUUUGGUGAAAGAUAAAACCCUUGUCACUAAUUUUAAGAUUGUUUUGCUAAUGUUGUUUUGGAAAAGCAGCAAAGGCCUAAGUGAUGUAGUGGUGGCUGAUCAUACUUGUUCUGGGGAAAAUUGCUCUUACUACCAAAUUGGAGAUGUAUUUAUUUGUGAGAAGACUGGACAAGUUCAUGGUGGAAGCAUUAUCUAUGUUAAUGCUUCUACGUGUUUUAAUUAAAAUUUUUUACAUUAAACUUUAAAUCCUUUGGCUGAGUGGAACUUAUAAUUUGCGCUUUGUAGUUUGUGACGAUACGUGUAGAGAUGUAAUUAUGGAUCCCACAGACGAGCUUUUGGUAUGUACAAUAUCAGGUCAAUGUUUUGAUAGAUUGUUGUCACCUUCCGAAAUGGAGUCUGAUAUUGUAAGUGUGAAUGUUCUUUAACAUGAUAUUCAAUAUUGUUUACUGCAA